rnacentral:tRNA from 1 species
AUUGCAUUAGCUCAGUUGGUAAAGCGCCAGAGUAAAAACCUGGAUGCCGUGGGUUCAAAUCUCGAUGGCAGUC